rnacentral:piRNA from 1 species
UCUUGCAGGAGACAUAGAAAUCAGAUCCACAC